CCUACGGGAGGCGGCAGGGAGGAAUAUUGGGCAAUGGGCGCGAGCCGGAACCAGCCAAGGAGCGUGAAGGAUGACUGCCCUACGGGUUGUAAACUUCUUUUAUAAAGGAAUAAAGUGCGGCACGUGUGCCUUUUUGUAUGUAUCUUAUGAAUAAGGAUCGGCUAACUCCGUGCCAGCAGCCGCGGUAAUACGGAGGAUCCGAGCGUUAUCCGGAUUUAUUGGGUUUAAAGGGAGCGUAGGUGGGUUGUUAAGUCAGUUGUGAAAGUUUGCGGCUCAACCGUAAAAUUGCAAUUGAUACUGGCAGCCUUGAGUACAGUUGAGGUAGGCGGAAUUCGUGGUGUAGCGGUGAAAUGCUUAGAUAUCACGAAGAACACCGAUUGCGAAGGCAGCCUACUAGACUGCAACUGACGUUGAUGCUCGAAAGUGUGGGUAGCAAACAGGAUUAGAUACCCUGGUAGUC
rnacentral:rRNA from 1 species